CGCUCUGAUGGGGUCAAGGUCCAGAGAGCUGAGUAGUUGGCAAGCGGACCACCAGCAGCAGACAACGUCUUCACUCGGCUCUCCCCGAAGCUGUACAGCCCCGCUGAAAGGAUGAAGGUCUCCGAGGCUGCCCUGUCUCUCCUCAUCCUCAUCCUUAUCAUUACUUCUGCUUCUUGCAGCCAGCCAAAAGUUCCUGAGUGGGUGAACACCCCAUCCACCUGCUGCCUGAAGUUUUAUGAGAAAGUGUUGCCAAGGAGACUGGUGGUGGGAUACAGAAAGGCCCUCAACUGUAACCUGCCAGCAAUCAUCUUCAUCACCAAAAGGAACCGAGAAGUCUGCACCAACCCCAGUGACGACUGGGUCCAAGAGUACAUCAAGAAUCCCAACCUACCUUUGCUGCCCUCCAGGAACUUGGCCACGGUUAAAAUUAUUACAGCAAAGAAUGACUAAGCCCAGCUCCUCAACUCCCAGUGAUGACCAGGCUUUAGUGGAAGCCCUUGUUUACGGAAGAGAGAGGGUGGCAUGGGUACAGAGAGUGCCUGACUGGGAAAGAAAAAAAAAAAAAAAAAGAGUGAGCGAGAAGAAGAAGAAGAGACACAAAUCUCUACCUCCCAUGUUACGCUUUGCAGGACAGGGAAAGAAAGGGUAUGAGACUCGCCUAGGGGUAAACUCUUAGUCCAAAACCCAAGCAUGCAAUAAAUACAACUUCCUUAUUUGGCA